rnacentral:rRNA from 1 species
GAUGAACGCUGGCGGCGUGCUUAACACAUGCAAGUCGAACGGAAAGGCCCUGCUUUUGUGGGGUGCUCGAGUGGCGAACGGGUGAGUAACACGUGAGUAACCUGCCCUUGACUUUGGGAUAACUUCAGGAAACUGGGGCUAAUACCGGAUAGGAGCUCCUGCUGCAUGGUGGGGGUUGGAAAGUUUCGGCGGUUGGGGAUGGACUCGCGGCUUAUCAGCUUGUUGGUGGGGUAGUGGCUUACCAAGGCUUUGACGGGUAGCCGGCCUGAGAGGGUGACCGGCCACAUUGGGACUGAGAUACGGCCCAGACUCCUACGGGAGGCAGCAGUGGGGAAUAUUGAACAAUGGGCGGAAGCCUGAUGCAGCAACGCCGCGUGCGGGAUGACGGCCUUCGGGUUGUAAACCGCUUUCGCCUGUGACGAAGCGUGAGUGACGGUAAUGGGUAAAGAAGCACCGGCUAACUACGUG